rnacentral:rRNA from 1 species
UACGUAGGGUCGGAGCGUUGUCCGGAAUUAUUGGGCGUAAAGGGCUCGUAGGCGGUCUGUUGCGUCGGGAGUGAAAACUUACAGCUUAACUGUGAGCGUGCGGGCGAUACGGGCAGACUGGAGUACUGCAGGGGAGACUGGAAUUCCUGGUGUAGCGGUGGAAUGCGCAGAUAUCAGGAGGAACACCGGUGGCGAAGGCGGAUCUCUGGGCCAUUACUGACGCUGAGGAGCGAAAGCGUGGGGAGCGAACAGG